GACGAACGCUGGCGGCGUGCUUAACACAUGCAAGUCGAGCGGUAAGGCCUUUCGGGGUACACGAGCGGCGAACGGGUGAGUAACACGUGGGUGUUCUGCCCUGCACUUCGGGAUAAGCCUGGGAAACUGGGUCUAAUACCGGAUAUGACCUCCUAUCGCAUGGUGGGUGGUGGAAAGAUUUAUCGGUACAGGAUGGGCCCGCGGCCUAUCAGCUUGUUGGUGGGGUAAUGGCCUACCAAGGCGACGACGGGUAGCCGACCUGAGAGGGUGACCGGCCACACUGGGACUGAGACACGGCCCAGACUCCUACGGGAGGCAGCAGUGGGGAAUAUUGCACAAUGGGCGAAAGCCUGAUGCAGCGACGCCGCGUGAGGGAUGACGGCCUUCGGGUUGUAAACCUCUUUCAGCAGGGACGAAGCGCAAGUGACGGUACCUGCAGAAGAAGCACCGGCUAACUACGUG
rnacentral:rRNA from 1 species